ACAAUGGAAUUGCAUAUCCGUAUCCAAUGUACCAAUAACUACCUUAUGCAAUAGAAAACUACUAUUUGAAAGUGCACUGUACUUGUUCUAUAUACAUGUAUUUCAUUGCGGCUUAGCACAGAUUCCAAACUCUCCUCCAGUGCGUUGUAAUCUUCCUGACGAUGAUCCAGCAGCGCGUUCACUUGUUCCUGUAGUAGUUUCACCGUGCUGGGUAAAUCGAUGGGGGUGCAUGCGACCCCAAUUAAAACUGUCACAGCUAUUAUCGCUGACCCGCAAAUCUCUACACUUUCCACAGUAGUGCUGCUAUAUGCAACCGGCACGUGUGACGCCGACUACUAUUUAGCUCGGCGUACCGCGAAAGUUACCUCCAGUCUAGAAUCAGGAACGAAUGGUCAAGGUAGACUUUCGAAACGAUACUGAACAGUGUUAAAACGAAGUACGGGCUUAUAUUAGCGCUUGGACAAAGGGUCGGGGUAGCCGGCAUGGAGCAGGUGUUCGCCAGCACCGGGCCAUCAGCAGUAAGACCGUCACUCGCUCGAAAGCUGACAGUAGUCAAAAAGCCUGGAUUGCUGCUCCUCUAAAAUAUAGAAAUCAUGGGUUUGAAAUGAACAAAUUCUGAAGAAUAACAGGCCAAGAAGAAAAA